GGGGGAUUGGCUAUGGUGCAGUGGUAAAACACCUGCUUCGCAUGCAGAAUGUCCUGGGUUCGAUUCCUGGCACCUCCA